UGUCUCUCACCCAUGGGGCUGUGGGGGCGUUUUCCCUCCACAGCCAGGGUGUGGGGCCAAGAACAUCACUGGAGGACUCUCGUCGGGGCUGCCCUCAGCUCAGGCUGCCACGUUUUCCUGCCUCAGACACUG